rnacentral:rRNA from 1 species
UACGUAGGGUGCAAGCGCUGUCCGGAAUUAUUGGGCGUAAAGAGCUCGUAGGCGGUCUGUCGCGUCUGCUGUGAAAACCUAGGGCUUAACUCUGGGCGUGCAGUGGGUACGGGCAGGCUAGAGUGCGGUAGGGGAGACUGGAAUUCCUGGGUGUAAGCGGUGAAAUGCGCAGAUAUCAGGAGGAACACCGGUGGCGAAGGCGGUUCUCUGGGCAUUACCUGACGCUGAGGAGCGAAAGUGUGGGGAGCGAACAGGG